UGGGGAAUUUUGGACAAUGGGCGAAAGCCUGAUCCAGCAAUGCCACGUGUGUGAAGAAGGCCUUCGGGUUGUAAAGCACUUUUGUCCGGAAAGAAAUCCUUGGCUCUAAUACAGUCGGGGGAUGACGGUACCGGAAGAAUAAGCACCGGCUAACUACGUGCCAGCAGCCGCGGUAAUACGUAGGGUGCAAGCGUUAAUCGGAAUUACUGGGCGUAAAGCGUGCGCAGGCGGUUUGCUAAGACCGAUGUGAAAUCCCCGGGCUCAACCUGGGAACUGCAUUGGUGACUGGCAGGCUAGAGUAUGGCAGAGGGGGGUAGAAUUCCACGUGUAGCAGUGAAAUGCGUAGAGAUGUGGAGGAAUACCGAUGGCGAAGGCAGCCCCCUGGGCCAAUACUGACGCUCAUGCACGAAAGCGUGGGGAGCAAACAGGAUUAGAUACCCUGGUAGUCCACGCCCUAAAACGAUGUCAACUAGUUGUUGGGGAUUCAUUUCCUUAGUAACGUAGCUAACGCGUGAAGUUGACCGCCUGGGGAGUACGGUCGCAAGAUUAAAACUCAAAUGAAUUGACGGGGUCAUA
rnacentral:rRNA from 1 species